AGAGUUUGAUCCUGGCUCAGGACGAACGCUGGCGGCGUGCUUAAUACAUGCAAGUCGAGCGAGAGUAGCAAUACUCGAGCGGCGGACGGGUGAGUAACGCGUGGGCAAUCUGCCCUCUAGCCUGGGAUAACAGUUCGAAAGGACUGCUAACACCGGAUAUGCUCACACCCUGGCAUCAGGGAGUGAGAAAAGUUUACACU
rnacentral:rRNA from 1 species